GUGGGGAAUAUUGGACAAUGGGGGCAACCCUGAUCCAGCCAUGCCGCGUGUGUGAAGAAGGCUUUCGGGUUGUAAACUUCUUUUACCAGGGACGAAACAAAUGACGGUACCUGGUGAAUAAGCCACGGCUAACUACGUGCCAGCAGCCGCGGUAAUACGUAGGUGGCGAGCGUUAUCCGGAUUUAUUGGGUGUAAAGGGCGUGUAGGCGGGACAGCAAGUCAGAUGUGAAAACCAGAGGCUCAACCUCUGGCCUGCAUUUGAAACUGUUGUUCUUGAGUGUCGGAGAGGUAAUCGGAAUUCCGUGUGUAGCGGUGAAAUGCGUAGAUAUACGGAGGAACACCAGUGGCGAAGGCGGAUUACUGGACGAUAACUGACGCUGAGGCGCGAAAGCGUGGGGAGCAAACAGGAUUAGAAACCCUUGUAGUCC
rnacentral:rRNA from 1 species